rnacentral:lncRNA from 1 species
UUAGCCUCAUCUUCAAGGUGUGCAAUAACAGAAAAAAGUUGCAAUUCCUUGCCUCCACUGUGAGACAAACCCCAGCCACAUCUCCAGCACAAAAGAACUUCCAAACGCCUGAACCGUAGCAGCCAGGCGUUCCUCCAGAACCUCCUCCCCCAGGAGCUUGCUACACGUACCAGAAAUCUGGCCACUGGGCCAAGGAAUGCCCGCAGCCCGGGAUUCCUCCUAAGCCGCGUCCCAUCUGUGUGGGACCCCACUGAAAAUCGGACUGUUCAACUCACCUGGCAGCCACUCCCAGAGCCUCUGGAACUCUGGCCCAAGGUUCUCUGACUGACUCCUUCUUGGCUUACCGGCUGAAGACUGAUGCUGCCUGAUUGCCUCAGAAGCCCCGUAGACCAUCACGGACGCCGAGCUUUAGGCAGGAAUGUCAGGCCUCUGAGCCCAAGCCAAGCCAUCGCAUCCCCUGUGACUUACACGAAUAUGCCCAGAUGGCCUGAAGUAACUGAAGAAUCACAAAA